rnacentral:misc_RNA from 1 species
CAGCAGGAUUAUGGCUAGGCAGCGGGCACGGACAGGUUUAAUUUUGAUUCUCAAUGUAAUGCAUGCGACCAUGAAUUCAAAGAAAAUUUCACGGAUCACCAAGGCAUGAUAUUGCGACCAGGAGCACCAUCUAUGAGAAUCCCACGGAAUCAAGGAACAUUUAUAUUGGAGUCGAGGUUGAAAAAGGAGCCGGGAAACGAGGUCGGACAGUUCGAAAAUGGCUCGGUCGAAACCCGAUGCCGAAAAGCUAGUGGAAACCCAAAACCCUUCAGCGUGAGUGACUAUCAAGACUGACCCGCCCAGCCAGGAGAGGCAACGAACCGACACCUACUGCCACUUAGGGUUAAUUACUGCUAAUUCAAUGAUGACCAUCUAAAAACCGAAUCGUGUUAUUCAUUAAAAUAUAUAAACUUGAACAAUUCCUCAAACAUAAACACAAAAACAAUGGAAGA